rnacentral:lncRNA from 1 species
GGGGGUGAAUAUUUUUUUAGUAAAUUUUUGACAUAUUAUUGCUCCAUGAAUUGAUUUUGAUGAUUACAAAAUAUUUGAGGAGGUUACUAAUGAUUUUGGCUUGAAAAAAGAUUUAUUGUAUUUCAGGAGCAAAAUCAUAAUUUUAUCAAGUUCUGAUUCGAAAGCCUCAAGAGCAAGAACAAAAGAUUUGUGAUCUAUUG